rnacentral:rRNA from 1 species
AUUGAACGCUAGCGGGAUGCCUUACACAUGCAAGUCGAACGGCAGCACGGACUUCUGUCUGGUGGCGAGUGGCGAACGGGUGAGUAAUGUAUCGGAACGUGCCUAGUAGCGGGGGAUAACUACGCGAAAGCGUAGCUAAUACCGCAUACGCCCUCACGGGGGAAAGCAGGGGAUCGCAAGACCUUGCACUAUUAGAGCGGCCGAUAUCGGAUUAGCUAGUUGGUGGGGUAACGGCUCACCAAGGCGACGAUCCGUAGCUGGUUUGAGAGGACGACCAGCCACACUGGGACUGAGACACGGCCCAGACUCCUACGGGAGGCAGCAGUGGGGAAUUUUGGACAAUGGGGGAAACCCUGAUCCAGCCAUCCCGCGUGUGCGAAGAAGGCCUUCGGGUUGUAAAGCACUUUUGGCAGGAAAGAAACGUCAUGG